rnacentral:rRNA from 1 species
UACGUAGGGUGCGAGCGUUAAUCGGAAUUACUGGGCGUAAAGGGUGCGCAGGCGGCUCCGCAUGUCGGGCGUGAAAUCCCCGGGCCUAACCUGGGAAUUGCGUCCGAAACUAUGGGGCUGGAGUGUGGCAGAGGGAGGUGGAAUUCCACGUGUAGCGGUGAAAUGCGUAGAGAUGUGGAGGAACACCGAUGGCGAAGGCAGCCUCCUGGGCCAACACUGACGCUCAUGCACGAAAGCGUGGGGAGCAAACAGG